rnacentral:rRNA from 1 species
AGAGUUUGAUCCUGGCUCAGGACGAACGCUGGCGGCGUGCCUAAUACAUGCAAGUCGAACGGUCUUUUCUAUGGAAGCUUGCUUCCACUGAGAAGAUAGUGGCGAACGGGUGAGUAACACGUGGGUAACCUGCCCAUAAGAGGGGGAUAACAUCCGGAAACGGGUGCUAAUACCGCAUAGUUUUUUUGAUCGCAUGAUCGAGAAAGGAAAGACGGCCUUUGUGCUGUCGCUUAUGGAUGGACCCGCGGCGUAUUAGUUAGUUGGUGAGGUAAUGGCUCACCGAGACGAUGAUACGUAGCCGACCUGAGAGGGUGAUCGGCCACAUUGGGACUGAGACACGGCCCAAACUCCCACGGGAGGCAGCAGUAGGGAAUCUUC